rnacentral:lncRNA from 1 species
CAAAAACUGAGCUCCCUUUAUUCACUUUGCUCGGGGACAGAUGUGCAGCUGGAGGACCAGGCAGAGCAUCCCAAGGCUCCCAGAACAACUGCAGAGGCAAACCUUAAACCUGCCAUUAAACCAGCAGAGGGGGAAUGGCAGAACCAGCCCCAGCCCCGCUGUCCCGCCUGGUUGUCCCUGUGCUCCUGGCACUUGGCUGGCUCCUGGGAUGUGCCCUCAUGGUUUACAUUGUCUUCUCCUGAUGGCAGACAGAAGAAUUUACAGGGAUGUUGAUUAGAAGAACCUGGAAGUUCAACUGAGAUUUCUAAUGGCUAAAAUAAGUGUCCUGGAAGAGAGGGGACAAACCCUGCAGUCUCUUGGAGAGCUGGAGAUUCCCAAUCCCUGCAGCAAGUGAGGACCUCCAGCAUCACUGUCAGUCACUGCCAGGUGAGAACAUCCCCUCCAGCUCACCUGUGCAGGUGGGCUGUGUGAGCAGACACCUCAUUAUCUCCUUUUCAGGACCAGUUCCUGGGUUUCUAAGACUGAGCCCACCCUGACUGAUCCCAGCUCUGACUGACACAGGGCCAGCAGAGACUCCAUAGAAACCAUGUCCAUGUUUUCACCUCUCAGCUCAUUUACCAGGCCUGGAGGGAAACGUUCUGAGAGAUCCUGUUGGCCCAAGUGGCUCUUUGGGUGUCUCACAACACUGGAAAUCGAAUGUUUCCAAUUAAAAUGUUACAGAGCUAAAAUAUAAACACUACAAUCUGGUUUAGCUUUACCUGAUUUUUGAGAGCAGAAAGAUCUGAUUUGGCAGAGCAAAACAAAAUAACUUUCUAGGCUGGCUUCAGUAUUGUCAGACUGACUCGCUGUGUACAAAGGGAAAGUUCCUGCCAGUUUUGUAGAGUAAUAAAAAGAGGAUUAUUCCAAGAAAUUAUGCA